rnacentral:rRNA from 1 species
GAUGAACGCUGGCGGCGUGCCUAAUACAUGCAAGUCGAGCGAACAGAUGAGGAGCUUGCUCCUCUGACGUUAGCGGCGGACGGGUGAGUAACACGUGGAUAACCUACCUAUAAGACUGGGAUAACUUCGGGAAACCGGAGCUAAUACCGGAUAAUAUAUUGAACCGCAUGGUUCAAUAGUGAAAGACGGUUUUGCUGUCACUUAUAGAUGGAUCCGCGCCGCAUUAGCUAGUUGGUAAGGUAACGGCUUACCAAGGCAACGAUGCGUAGCCGACCUGAGAGGGUGAUCGGCCACACUGGAACUGAGACACGGUCCAGACUCCUACGGGAGGCAGCAGUAGGGAAUCUUCCGCAAUGGGCGAAAGCCUGACGGAGCAACGCCGCGUGAGUGAUGAAGGUCUUCGGAUCGUAAAACUCUGUUAUUAGGGAAGAACAAAUGUGUAAGUGACUAUGCACGUCUUGACGGUACCUAAUCAGAAAGCCACGGCUAACUACGUG